rnacentral:rRNA from 1 species
AUACGGAGGAUGCAAGCGUUAUCCGGAUUUAUUGGGUUUAAAGGGUGCGUAGGCUGUCUGUCAAGUCAGGGGUGAAAUGCCACAGCUUAACUGUGGAACUGCCUUUGAUACUGGCUGGCUGGAAUACGGAUGCCGUGGGAGGAAUGAGUAGUGUAGCGGUGAAAUGCAUAGAUAUUACUCAGAACACCGAUUGCGAAGGCAACUCACGAAUCCGUCAUUGACGCUGAGGCACGAAAGCGUGGGGAUCAAACAGGAUUAGAUACCCUGGUAGUCCACGCAGUAAACGAUGAUAACUAACCGUCGGCGAUACAAUGUCGGUGGCCAAGCGAAAGCGAUAAGUUAUCCACCUGGGGAGUACGUUCGCAAGAAUGAAACUCAAAUGAAUUGACGGGG